rnacentral:lncRNA from 1 species
CGGAGCCGCCAGAGCCAGAACUGGAAGAUGAGGAAGCUGAACUUGAGGCAGAACUGGAACUAGAACCAGAACCAGAACCAGAACCAGACCCUGCUCCGGCACCAGCUCCAGAGCCACUGCCACCUCCUAUCCCCAGGCCCAAACCCAGUCCAAGUCCAACCCCCAACCCACCAAGGUCCAGGCCCAAGUCCUUCCUUGCCACUCUACUCUCUGAUACAAUAGUUGACAUAAAAAGAAGCAAUGCAAGUAGAUAACAUGACCAAGAUGUUGCCAUUUUGUGUGCAAUGUAGGUUUGAAAAGUAGGUAAAGAAGCUCAAGUAGUAUUAUAGCUGAACAAACUAUGCAGGGUG